GGUAUUACCCAAUUUCUUCAGUAACCAUCUACAAUAUUUGACAAAUUUAUUGAGGGCAUACAUUAUAAAUCAUAACAAUGGCAGUUAUCAGAAAAACAUCGCGUAAAACGUCUUCGAUAAUUGCUCUCUACAAACGACCCUUACUGCAUUCUUGCGCGCUAAUUUUCGAGUCUCGCGUACACGAUGCAGAGAUCUCUGAAGACUGCAACAUUUAAAUUUGAGGCAAUUUGACGUUUCCAUACUACGGCUCCUUAGAUCUACAACCAGCAGCUGACUAUGGCUAAGUAUAAUUUUAAUUAUAUUACUAUUGAUACUGCUAUUCUUAAAAUUUGGGCUGUGACAUUCAGUUAAACCCAACUAAAUGGCAAGGAGUUACUUCUUGCAUUAUAGGCUACUUUUGAAGACUAGUAAUGGUACCUAAUCUGAAGGUAAUGAACAGCUAAAAUAAUGGAUCCAUGUCUCACAUGUUGAAGUAAUAUAGACCAAAGAGCUGUACAGAGUUGAACUCGUAACUGUAUUUUGUGUCACAAGGUGUCCGUCUCCUCGCCUCCCUGCUGUCACCACCGGUCUGAAGUCCAUAACCGUGAGUGGGGCCAGCUCCAGCCCUUGCUGUCCUGAACCUGAACAAGAUGUCCAUCGAACCGCACAGCAUGGUCGGAGGCAGGAGACGUGGAGGAGGAAGAGCUGCACCAGGCUCGCCAGUGGAAGUGGCAUUCGAUAAUGUUCCCCUGGACCAGGGUGGACCAGACCCCCUGGACCAGGAAUGGGGCACCAGGAUGGACCAGAGGCCGUGGACCAGACCCCCUGGACCAGGAAUGGGGAACCAGGGUGGACCGGAGCCUGUGGACCAGACCCCCUGGACCAGGAAUGGGGCACCAGGGUGGACCAGAGGCUGAGGACCAGACCCCCUGGACCAGGAAUGGGGCACCAGGGUGGACCGGAGCCUGUGGACCAGACCCCCUGGACCAGGAAUGGGGCCCCAGGGUGGACUAGACCCCCUGGACCAGGAAUGGGGCACCAGGAUGGACUGGCGGGUAACCAGUUCCCCUGGACCAGGAAUGGGGCACCAGGGUGGACUGGGGCCUGUGGACCAGACCCCCUGGACCAGGAAUGGGGCACCAGGCUGGACUGGAGGGUAACCUGACCCCCUGGACCAGGAAUGGGGCCCCAGGGUGGACCGGAGGAUGUUGGAGAGCUGACAGCGGAGCCAUGGUGGAGGGAAGCUGAUGGAGCUGUGGUGGAGGGGCUGCCUGACGAAGCCUGACUCUAAAGAAGCUGGUGACCAACCAGGAACGAGACGAGGACUACGAUGGGACUGCUUAAGUCUUCUGAAGGAGUCCUUGGCUGAGGAGGGCUGAUGGGGGAACCGUGCAUCUGGAGGAAGACCAUCGAUCUGCCGGCCAAUAAGGAGUACUGGGAAGUUUGCAUAACUAUCGUUUGCAGUAAAUCGGACAUUACAGCAAACCAUAUUUUCCCACACAAUUUAAACCACUGCUGUGUGACCAGACUAACUACCAAUGUUUGAUACCAGACAUGGAGGGGAACCCACCGGUGGGUUGCAGACCAUGGCUCUGUGGUGGAGGGGAGCUCACGGAGUUGUGCUGAUGACCACCUCCUGGGACCAGAAUACCUUUGCCGAGGAGAGCUGAUGGAGGAGCGAGGCACCAGGAGGAAGACCGUGACUCCGUCUACCAGCCAGUGGAAACUAGGACUCCGGGAUGGAGGGGAGUGAUGGAGGGAGCCGUGCUAGGGAUCUGCUGGGGGAGGAUGUCCCUCGUGGCGUAAUGGCACCCGUCUCUGAGAUGACUCAGACGACCCACCAGGAUCUGCUCGGAGGACUACGAUGUGACUGCUGAAGUCUCUGGAAGAAUAAAGCUGCACCCACCCAUGGCUCAACUAAUGGUGUUAACCAGACCAGGAACCUUGGCCGAGACCUGAAGGAGGAGCCGCGCAUCUGGAGGAACACCACGAGGCUACCUGCCAAGGAUUACUGGUGCGGUUGAAAUGCUGUGCUCGGUCCGGGGGAAGACGCAACUGAGCCGUAUCUCACCUGCAUCUGAACCUCUGGAGCUCUUCAGAGUGACCAACCCGCGGCGCCGCAUCACAGCUCCUCGUCGCUGGCCUGUGGAUUCAUCUUCUAACCCACUUGCAGAACGUGACUUUGUCACCAUCUGCUGCACGUCAGGAGGCUCCCAACGUGUUCCAUCGAUGGUUUCCUUCCUCCCCACAGUGGGAGUGUUCCUUGUUUUUUCAAGUCGUUGGGGUUCAGAGUUAGGGACAGAGUUAGGGAAAGAUGGUUAAUUCAUGGUUUCACUGGUUUCACGACGAACUGCUCGAAUUGGGACACACCAGUCCACCCCAAAAUGUUUCAAUGUGCACACGCUUGUUCAAAUGUAUACAAAGGUGUAUUAUAAUAUAAAAUACUAUUCAAAUCCUA